UUUGGAAAACACUGUGGAAGCAAUCCAAAGGUUUUUUUUUUGUUUUAUGCUACCAUUACUCAAGUGACAGCCUUCUGCAAUGCUGCAUGUUGCUUUUGC